AGGAGUUCAUUUGUCACCCAUAAAAAAUCCUGUGCAAGUGGAGCAGCUCUUCAGGCCAUCUGGUCUCCAUGCAGUGACUUAGUGAUCCAGGCAGCUUCCCUUAUCUCAACACAUGGCCUCCAUGACCACUGAAGAGACAACUGGAAGGUUAAAUCAGUAUUUAAAUGCUUUGGCUUAGGAGUACUACUCACCACUUCUGCUCACAGCCCACUGGCCAGAACAAAUCAUACAGCCAUACUUAUUGCAAGACAUCUGGAAAAUUUGAGGAAACACAUGGAUAUUAGCUAAGGAUGACCCAUGAGAUGUGGAUGGAAGCUAUUGAUGGUGAUGGUGGAGUUUCCAGGCAUGUUAUAGAAGCCUGCCUCAACUGAGAGACAAAUCUACUGUCUUUCCUUCCUCCUUUGCUCCUCCUUCUUGCCUGGAGUGCACACAUGAUGGCUGGAGCUCCAACGGCCAUCUUGGAACGUGAAGCAACCUUGAGAGUAGAUCCACCGGCUGAAGAUAGUGGAAAUAAAAGAUGGAGCUCUCACACUGGCCCUGGGCUGUCUACUCCUGGGCUUUUUCUGAGGAAUAGAGAAGUAAUCACUAAUUUUUAUUUAAGGCAUUGGUUCUCAAACUUUAGCAUGCAUUAGAAUCACCAGGUGCACUUGCUAAAAUACAGAUUGUUGGGCCCCAUCUUCAGAUAUUCUCAUCCAGUCAGCCUGGAGCACAGCCUGAGAAUUUCAUGUCUAACAUUUUCCCAGGUAAUGCUGCUGCUGCAGGUCUGGGUGUCACGCUUUGAGAACCAAUGAUUCAAGCCAUCAUGGAUCAGAUUUUGAUUUUAUGUAGCAGAACCCAAUCCUAACAUAGAUAGCAGGGUGAGCACUUUGCACUGAAUAAAUGGGAUCAUAUUUUCGUACAAGGAACAAGUGAUUGUGAGGCUGCCUGUUCACCCCACUGAGACCCAGCCGUGGGAGGAAAUCAGAGGCUCAAGGGGCUGGAAGGGAGCAGAGGGAGUGAUGGCCACUCUGCUCAUCCCCCACUAAAGGGCAGCCUUGAUUGACCUCAAGAACCCCAAAGAAGGCUUGGUGGUCCCAAAACCCUUGUGUGGGGAGAGGCUGAGUCCCCACCUUGCUCAGGCCUAUUUUAUAGCAUCUCCUAUUCUUCCAAGUGUCCUAGAAACUUAACAGGUGUUCCAAGAAAGUUUUUUUUUUUAAAGCGGGGACCUCGGGUGAAAUGCUUCCUGAGCCAAGCCCUCUACAUGUGUUAUCUCAUUUAAUCCUCAUGACCCAUCUCAAAGUUGAGGAAGCUGAGGCUGACAAUGGCUAAGUAACUUGCCCAUAGUCACAAAAUACUAGGAAGUGAUGGAGCCCAGACUCAACCAUAAAUCUGCCUGACUGUAAAUGUCACAUUCCAAAUGAUGAUUUAAGGCUGGUGUCACCCCUGCCCCACCCCUGGGCUGUGCUAAACUGUAUUCUCAGAGACAGGAAAGCCAGAGGGCUUUGGGGAAGCUUUAGGAGAGGGUGGGGUGGGCAGAGAGUUGGACCCACUCAAGCUCUGGGGCCACCCUCCUACCCCUGUGUCCAUGGAUCCCCAGUAAGAGCUGAACACCAAGUCCUGUAGAGGCUAAGGGAGGUGGCCCCCUGCUCCUGGCAGGUCACCUGUGGUGCCAGAUUGGAAGCCAUACUUCUCUCGAGGGGAGGGGGUCAGUGGCCCAGCACUUCUAGCUGUUCCAAUAAAAUAUGAAGUUCG
rnacentral:lncRNA from 10 species